AACUUUUACUUUUCCUUACAGCGCCAUACCCUAGUAUCCCCAGCGCCGGGUGGCUGUGAACCUCCCAGACUGUAGGGUAAUCAAGAACCCAACUGACCACUCUAGUGACAGCAAGGUCCACUCAAAUUGCUGCUUCAGUCUGAGGCGACACUGAAGAGCGUUGUAAUAGCAAGUUCAGCUUGAGGUGCGGCUGAGGCUAGUAAAUGGAAGCAGACCAAUAUGGAAUUAAUUAAUAAAUCUGACAUGAAUUCUGCUCUGGACAAUGACAUCUGCGUCCUGACCCACAAGAAAGCCGACUGCUUGCAGAGGAGAGAUCAACACACUCCCUUCUCCGCGUCUUCAGGAGAGGCUUCUGUUGCCUCACAUUUUGAACUUGUCACAGCCUAUGAAGACAUCAAAAAACACCUCAAGGAGACUGAGAAAUAAAAUUAUAGCCUGAAGAGAAAAUGGAAGAUAGCAGACCUAUGUCUGUAUUGUAUAAGAAUUUCAGAAAGAGAAUCAUGUACUUUUACUAUCCUCUAAAAAAAAUCCCUCCUGUACAUAUGACAAAGCUGCAUUCUUUUAAUACCCAAGUAUGUUUUUUUUGUGAAUGUCUAAAGGUGAAUAAAUAUUUUAAGAGUU